rnacentral:rRNA from 1 species
GACGAACCGUGCAAACGUUAUUCGGAAUCACUGGGCUUAAAGCGCGUGUAGGCGGGACGGCACGUCGGUCGUUGAAAUCCCCCGGCUCAACCGGGGAAUGGGCGCCGAUACGACCGUCCUGGAGGAACGUAGGGGGACCUGGAACUUCCGGUGGAGCGGUGAAAUGCGUUGAGAUCGGAAGGAACGCCCGUGGCGAAAGCGAGGUCCUGGACGUUUUCUGGCGCUGAGACGCGAAAGCCAGGGGAGCGAACGGG